GAUGAACGCUGGCGGCGUGCCUAAUACAUGCAAGUCGAGCGAACAGACGAGGAGCUUGCUCCUCUGACGUUAGCGGCGGACGGGUGAGUAACACGUGGAUAACCUACCUAUAAGACUGGGAUAACUUCGGGAAACCGGAGCUAAUACCGGAUAAUAUAUUGAACCGCAUGGUUCAAUAGUGAAAGACGGUUUUGCUGUCACUAAUAGAUGGAUCCGCGCCGCAUUAGCUAGUUGGUAAGGUAACGGCUUACCAAGGCAACGAUGCGUAGCCGACCUGAGAGGGUGAUCGGCCACACUGGAACUGAGACACGGUCCAGACUCCUACGGGAGGCAGCAGUAGGGAAUCUUCCGCAAUGGGCGAAAGCCUGACGGAGCAACGCCGCGUGAGUGAUGAAGGUCUUCGGAUCGUAAAGCUCUGUUAUUAGGGAAGAACAAAUGUGUAAGUAACUAUGCACGUCUUGACGGUACCUAAUCAGAAAGCCACGGCUAACUACGUG
rnacentral:rRNA from 1 species